rnacentral:rRNA from 1 species
GACGAACGCUGGCGGCGUGCUUAACACAUGCAAGUCGAACGAAGUGGCGAACGGGUGAGUAACGCGUAAUCACCCUGCCCUUCCGAGGGGAACAACAGUUGGAAACGACUGCUAAUACCGCAUACGGAAGGAGGGGAAUGCGUCUGAUUCGGUAGGUGGAGGGGUAACGGCCAACCAAGGCGAUGAUCAGUAGCCGGUCUGAGAGGAUGAACGGCCACAUUGGGACUGAGACACGGCCCAGACUCCUACGGGAGGCAGCAGUGGGGAAUCUUCCGCAAUGGACGAAAGUCUGACGGAGCAACGCCGCGUGAGUGAUGACGGCCUUCGGGUUGUAAAGCUCUGUUAAUCGGGACGCGGUACCGGAAUAGAAAGCCACGGCUAACUACGUGCCAGCAGCCGCGGUAAUUC